rnacentral:rRNA from 1 species
UACAGAGGGGGCAAGCGUUGUUCGGAAUUACUGGGCGUAAAGGGCGCGUAGGCGGCCUUCUAAGUCGAACGUGAAAUCCCCGGGCUCAACCCGGGAACUGCGUCCGAUACUGGAAGGCUUGAAUCCGGGAGAGGGAUGCGGAAUUCCAGGUGUAGCGGUGAAAUGCGUAGAUAUCGGGAGGAACACCAAUGGCGAAGGCAGCUCGCUGGGACGGUACUGACGCUGAGACGCGAAAGCGUGGGGAGCGAACAGG